GUCCCUUCCAACGCUGCAAUUCUACGAUUCUUUGAUCUCCUUAAUGGACACAGAAGCAGAGAAUUAUAGAGUUGGAAGGGAC